GUGGCGGGGGGAUGGGUACAAUAGCGUAGAGACAGAGGGGUGUAAAAUGAGGGUAGAAGCAAUAGGUAGCAAGGUGAAAACUAAACGUGGCAUGCAGACAAAACCGGGGCAAAAAUCAAAAAGGGCCACUUUUCAGCAUAAUUGUAUAAGGGGUAAGAGUGUUGUAAAAACAAGCCUGAAGGCUUUGUGUCUCAAUGCAA